rnacentral:rRNA from 1 species
CAGUAGCCGCGUUAAUACAGAGGGUGCGAGCGUUAAUCGGAUUUACUGGGCGUAAAGCGUGCGUAGGCGGCUUCUUAAGUCGGAUGUGAAAUCCCUGAGCUUAACUUAGGAAUUGCAUUCGAUACUGGGAAGCUAGAGUAUGGGAGAGGAUGGUAGAAUUCCAGGUGUAGCGGUGAAAUGCGUAGAGAUCUGGAGGAAUACCGAUGGCGAAGGCAGCCAUCUGGCCUAAUACUGACGCUGAGGUACGAAAGCAUGGGGAGCAAACAGGAUUAGAUACCCCUGUAGUCCCUGUCUCUUAUAC